CUCCUAAUCAGUCUCUUGAUCUUUUUUUUUUUUUGCAUUUCCUCCAUUUGGGCUAACUCUACUAUCCCUCUUUCAGUUGUGUGGUACUUAAAUCCAUGACAAAUCUUCCUAAAAGAAUAUGAAUACAUUUAAAAAGAAAGUUAACGAAAAUGAUUGAGGACUUUCUGAGAGACUUGGGGACCUGGAGCAUUUUGGGCGAACUUUAGAUAAUAAGCACAUAUUUUUUCCUAAAGGGUUUCUAAUACUUUGUUAAAGAGUAGAUCAAUUUACCUUUGAUUUAACAAUGCAUAUAAUCACAUAAACAGUUAUAUCACACAAGACAGUUAUAUCAGACAACAAUAGAAUAAUAAACAGUUUGUCCUAAUUGGGUGAUCCUUUUGAGCCAAGGGUUGGCCUAGCAAAUUUGAAGGAAAUAUAUGCUUUUUAAACCAAUCAAUUAACCCCCCAAAUCUCCAUAGAUAUAUAGAAAGCCAUGAGUGUUUGCAAAAUAUGCAUAAAAGGAUACAAUUUUUACGGAAAGGGGAAAUGACAUAAAAAAGGAACAAAGUCCCGCGCAAGGGAUGGAAAAUUAACUCCAAGAUGAUCUUUCGUCGUCCUCGCCUUCUUAGAUUUAUCCACAUCUUCCCAUAUGUGAUAUCUUUUGAUGGUCAGGCGGCUCCCACAUAAUUGUACUUUGUUCUUGUAGGUCAUCUUCCCUAUGCUAUCAAUUUGAGAAGCCAUGUGAUCAUCCAAAUCAAGCAAACACUGUCUUGCAUCAUCAACCUCUUGCCUAGUUCGCUUUAACUCUUCUCUCAAUUGGUGUAUAGUUGAGGCAACCUCUAUCUGCAUCUAUUGGAGCAUCAUUUCACCUCUUCAGAAUUUGUCCUGAAGCUUGUGGAACCGGAUCUGAUGUUCUGACUCUACAUCAACAAUCUGUGUGGGUACAUUUGGACCCAGAACCAAUGUUCUGGCAAUAUUCUCUUUCAACUACUCUUUGUAGGUAUCACUAACCUCCGGUUCAUACCCAAUACAAAAGAAAACUUCCUUCAUCUUUCUUCUCCUCCACCCAUCUACCAUGUACUGUUUGAGUGGAGUUUCACCUUUGUGUGGUACUUAAAUCCAUGACAAAUCUUCCUAAAAGAAUAUGAAUACAUUUAAAAAGAAAGUUAACGAAAAUGAUUGAGGACUUUCUGAGAGACUUGGGGACCUGGAGCAUUUUGGGCGAACUUUAGAUAAUAAGCACAUAUUUUUUCCUAAAGGGUUUCUAAUACUUUGUUAAAGAGUAGAUCAAUUUAC
rnacentral:lncRNA from 1 species